CCUACGGGAGGCAGCAGUGGGGAAUAUUGGACAAUGGGCGAAAGCCUGAUCCAGCAAUACCGCGUGUGUGAAGAAGGCCUUCGGGUUGUAAAGCACUUUAGGUCGGAAAGAAAAAACUUUGGUUAAUACCUGAAGUCUUGACGGUACCGACAGAAUAAGCACCGGCUAACUCUGUGCCAGCAGCCGCGGUAAUACAGAGGGUGCGAGCGUUAAUCGGAUUUACUGGGCGUAAAGCGUGCGUAGGUGGCUAUUUAAGUCGGAUGUGAAAGCCCUGGGCUUAACCUGGGAACUGCAUUCGAUACUGGGUGGCUAGAGAUCGGUAGAGGGCAGCGGAAUUCCGGGUGUAGCGGUGAAAUGCGUAGAUAUCCGGAGGAACACCGAUGGCGAAGGCAACUGCCUGGGCCUGAUCUGACACUGAGGCACGAAAGCGUGGGUAGCAAACAGGAUUAGAUACCCUGGUAGUCCACGCUGUAAACGAUGAGAACUUGACGUCUGCUUGCUAUGCGAGUAGGUGUCGUAGCUAACGCGAUAAGUUCUCCGCCUGGGGAUACGGCCGCAAGGUUGAAACUUAAANGAAUUGACGG
rnacentral:rRNA from 1 species